AUGACGCAGGAGGCCACCCAGAUCCCAGCAGCAGGGCAGGCCUUCAGGCCAACAGUUCCCGCACUUGGGCUGCCCUGCGCCACGGGCGGCUCGGCGGGGUCUGUUUCUCAUCAGCGGCUCUGGGUCUUGAGGAAACCGAGGCUUGAGGCCAGCCAGCAUCCUUGUGGUUUUGGAAGGAAGCAGAAGCCAAGUCCUCUAGUUCCUGGGGCCUCUGCAUUCAUAAGCCCACACAAGCGUGUGCAUACAUACACGCACACAUAUGCAUAUGCACCACAUGUGCAUAUGCACACACAGACACAUGCACCACACAUGCAUAUACACGGACAUGCACACACACUACAAUGCAUGUGCACACACAUGCACACACAUGCAGUGCACAUGCAUAUGCAUACCCACACAUGCACACCACAAUGCACAUGUUCCACAAUGCAUACACAUGCACACACACCGCUAUACACACACAUGCACUACACAUACAUAUGCAUAUCCACACAUGCACACACAAUGCACAUGUACCACAAUGCAUAUUGCACACAAGGCACAUGUACCACACAUGCAUAUGCACACACAUGCACUACACAUGGGCAUGCACACACAAUGCACAUGUACCACAAUGCAUAUUGCACACAAGGCACGUGUACCACACAUGCAUACACAUGUGCAUGCACACACACCACACAUGCAUAUGCACACACAGGCACCACACAUGCAUGCACACACUCCACACACAUACGCAUGUGCGCACAUAUUCAGACACCCACACAGGAGUCAGCAGGCACGUCUUCACACAUACAGUCAAUCAUGUGCACACACUGGGCUCAGGGCUGCAGCAGCAAGAGGGAGCCUGGGUUCUGGGAGCCGGGAAGGCCCCGGUCUGAGAGGGCCUCCCCAGGCUGUCCCAGCUUCUCCUGGCUCUGUCACUUCCUCUUCAGGCCGUUUGACACUGGUACAGGGGAGGCCAUGACCUAUGGCAUCAACUCUGAAGGCUCCCCCUGCCUGCCUGUCCUUGCCAGGGGGCUCCCAGGCUCAUGA
rnacentral:lncRNA from 1 species